rnacentral:rRNA from 1 species
ACGCUCGACACCUACGGAGGCAGCAGUGGGGAAUAUUGCACAAUGGGGGGAACCCUGAUGCAGCGACGCCGCGUGAGUGAAGAAGUACUUCGGUAUGUAAAGCUCUAUCAGCAGGGAAGAAAAUGACGGUACCUGACUAAGAAGCCCCGGCUAACUACGUGACAGCAGCCGCGGUAAUCUGAGCGGGCUGGCAAGGC